NNNNNNNNNNNNNNNNNNNNNNNNNNNNNNNNNNNNNNNNNNNNNNNAGUCGUGGGGUCCGAGGAGCACCUCGGCAUCUGGAGUCUGGCAGGAAUGUUGAAGGACUGAGGGGCUAGCUCAGGCAGAGCAAAGGCAUCGCAGAGGCUGGAAAACAUCGGAGUGAAGCUGAAGGGCCUGAGCUAGGGUUGGAGAGGAAUGGGGAGCCAGACAUUCAUCCCGGUUACUUUUGGUUACAGGACGUGGCGGCUGGUCGGAUAAAGGGGAGCUGCUGGGAAGGGUUCGACCCCAGACCUGGGCAGUGAAGGUAUAGCUGGCAGCAGUGGGCAGGUGAGGACCGCCGUCUGCUGGGCAGGUGAGUCUCCUUCUUCUCUCUUGGCCUCGCUCCACUGACCUUCUAAACGAAGGUUUAGAGAGGGGGCCUGGUGAGAAGAAGCGGCUGGCCUCGCAGCAGAAUGGCACAUAGAAAGGCAGGAUAGUUAGCAAAGGAGACAUCGUCUCGGGGGGGAGCCGAGACAGAAGGAGGCUGGGGGACCAUUGGCGACCCCAGGUGGAAAGAGCUCUUAGAGAGAAGAAAGAAGAGGUGCAGGGUUGCCAGUAAAGACUGAGGCCGCUGCCUCCAGGGAGGUGAUAGGAGUCCUUGGAGACAGUGGCAGAGACCAUGGGAUCCAGCAAGAACAGAAGCAUUCUAGGCUGGGGUCAAACAGGGCAAGAUGGGGUCACAAGACACAGAUGGGUCCCCAGCCGCCACAACAUCCCACCCACCGUAAUUCACUUAGAAGAAGGUUCAAGAGUGGCUCUGGCAAAGUCCCAAGUUUGCCAGAGCCUCAAUAACUGGAGAAUGGAAAAGAAGGGCAGUGCAGGGUGUCACCAGAAGGGGAGUGGGGGCUGCAGGUAUCGGACUCCAGAGGGAUUUUACAGCAAGGAGGCUGCAGUGGGUCCAGCCUGCAGACACACCAUUCCCAUGAGGCACUGCGGCCCAGGGACUGGUGCGGAAAGGGCCCACAGUGGACUUGGUACACUGUAUGCCCUAACCGCUCAGUCCCUGGGUCUGGCAUGACAGACAGAACAUUUCCAGGGGAGUCAAGGGCACAGGAUGAAGCCAGACAAGGCGAGGCAGGCGGGGCAGAAUGAAUGAGUUUCUAGGGAGGGAGGUUGGGUGCAGGUAGAGCGAGUAGCUGGGGUGGUGAGCCAGGGAGGCACUGGCCUCCAGAGUCCGUGGCCAAGGAGGGCCUUGCGGGCGGCGACGGAGCAGUGAUCAGUGUCUCGAAGAGCUCGGACUGGAGACUAGGCCAGGUCUCCAGCAGAGGUGGAUGUGCCUGCCAGUCACUGAAGGCGAGGAUGACAGGUGUGGUCAAUGUGACAGAAAGACAUGACAUGGUCCGGUGUGAUGGAGAGGACAGAAGGGCAGUCAUCCAGCCUUCUUGAACACCAUGGACUGGCGCCUUGUCGUAGAAGCCGUCUGUUCUUUCACUUUUCCCAAAGAGCUAACACUUCUCUGCUGCUCUCUGGAUCCUCCUCCCCCUACCUUGAACCCUCAAGAUGAAAGAAAUGGUGCUACCCAGCUCAUGUCUGGGCCUUUGAAUCCGGGGACUUCUUUAAGUCCGUCUCGUUCUGAAUCAAGAAGAUGCUGCAAUCAGAACCACUACACUACCUGCCUCAGGAAUCUGCUCCAAGGUGAAGCUGAAAGAACAGAUGGUGUCAACAUUUUGAAAGAGCAGACUCAUAGCACCCACCCACCCCUGAGAAUCCAUCUUCAUGGCCAACUCUGCCUGACCCGGGAGACCACCACCCACAUCAUCCUGGAGCCAAGCCUCUACCCCGGGAUGACUUCAUCAUCUCCCUCCUGUCUUUUUCUUCUUCCUCCUUUCCUGUAAUUCUAUUUCUUUCCUUUUGUUCCUUCCUUGCUUGAGAGACUCAAAGCACCCGUGACUCUGUUUCCCCAUUUACCCCCUUUUGAAUUUGCACUAAGUCGAUUGCACUGGUUUGGAGUCCCGGAGAUAGCUUUGAGUCUCUCCGUAUGAAUGUAUACAGCGAGUGUGUAAGCCUCUUUGGCAAUGCUGCCCCAGUACCCACCUGUCAUCCAUCUCCGUCUGAGGGCAACUGGGUGUGGCCGUGUGCUUGAGGCCUCGCCUUCCCCUCGCCUAGUCUGGAAGCAGUUCCAUCAUAAAGUGUUCAACAUGCCCUACUUCAUCCUUUGCCCCUCCUCACCAGGGCCUCACCAGAGGUCCUGGGUCCAUCAAUAAAUACAGUUACAGUCAUU
ensembl:lincRNA H19 H19, imprinted maternally expressed transcript